CUACGGGAGGCAGCAGUAAGGAAUAUUGCGCAAUGGAGGCAACUCUGACGCAGCCAUGCCGCGUGCAGGAAGAAGGCCUUAUGGGUCGUAAACUGCUUUUAUUUAGGAAUAAACCCCCGAACGUGUUUGGGGCUGAAGGUACUAAACGAAUAAGCACCGGCUAACUGCGUGCCAGCAGCCGCGGUAAUACGGAGGGUGCAAGCGUUAUCCGGAUUUAUUGGGUUUAAAGGGUGCGCAGGCGGGCUAUUAAGUCAGUGGUGAAAUCCCGGGGCUCAACUCCGGAACUGCCAUUGAUACUGAUAGUCUUGAGUUUGGUUGAAGUGGGCGGAAUGUAGCAUGUAGCGGUGAAAUGCAUAGAUAUGCUACAGAACACCAAUCGCGAAGGCAGCUCACUAAGCCAAAACUGACGCUCAUGCACGAAAGCGUGGGGAUCAAACAGGAUUAGAUACCCUCGUAGUC
rnacentral:rRNA from 1 species